CAACCCUUAUUGCUAGUUACCAUCAUUAAGUUGGGGACUCUAGCGAGACUGCCAGUGAUAAACUGGAGGAAGUGGGGAUGACGUCAAAUCAUCAUGCCCCUUAUGACCUGGGCUACAAACGUGAUACAAUGGCUGAACAAAGGGCAGCGAAGGAGCGAUCUGGAGCGAAACCCAAAAAGCAGUCUCAGUUCGGAUUGAAGUCUGCAACUCGACUUCAUGAAGUCGGAAUCGCUAGUAAUCGCGGAUCAGAACGCCGCGGUGAAUACGUUCUCGGGGUUU
rnacentral:rRNA from 1 species